ACAGAUGUAGCUCAGUGGGGCCAAGCAGCUGUUUUGGAUGCAGAAGGUCUUGGGUUCAAUCUACUGCAUCUGCA